AUGAACGCUGGCGGCGUGCCUAAUACCUGCAAGUCGAGCGAACAGACGAGGAGCUUGCUCCUCUGACGUUAGCGGCGGACGGGUGAGUAACACGUGGAUAACCUACCUAUAAGACUGGGAUAACUUCGGGAAACCGGAGCUAAUACCGGAGAAUAUAUUGAACCGCAUGGUUCAAUAGUGAAAGACGGUUUUGCUGUCACUUAUAGAUGGAUCCGCGCCGCAUUAGCUAGUUGGUAAGGUAACGGCUUACCAAGGCAACGAUGCGUAGCCGACCUGAGAGGGUGAUCGGCCACACUGGAACUGAGACACGGUCCAGCCUCCUACGGGAGGCAGCAGUAGGGAAUCUUCCGCAAUGGGCGAAAGCCUGACGGAGCAACGCCGCGUGAGUGAUGAAGGUCUUCGGAUCGUAAAACUCUGUUAUUAGGGAAGAACAAAUGUGUAAGUAACUAUGCACGUCUUGACGGUACCUAAUCAGAAAGCCACGGCUAACUACGUG
rnacentral:rRNA from 1 species